CGGACGGCUUGAAUUUAACAGAAUAAAAAGAGAUGCUAAUGGCAACACUUUGGAUAGAAUCGUGAAAAGAGAUUAGAUGGUGUGUGGCACCACAAACUGGAUCUUUCAUCAUUGAAGCUGAACUAAAUAAAUUUAUAGUUGAUCUCUAUA